CUUUUCCCUGCUAACAUUUAUUUGCAGUUGGAUGUGAAGGCAUGGAAAUGUAAAACAUCAAUUGUAGCAUGUCAUGUUUUGCCUGUACAUAACCACAGCUGUGAAUUGGUGUGAGAACCUGAUUUUUUUUUUUUAAUCUAGGCAUAUCAUAUGAACAGAAUUCCAGAAUAUGAUACAACCCAAAACAUACACGACUCGGAAUAAGAGAACACUGCAGUUGUUAUAACUGAUGGCAAGCUUACAAUGACUUUGUUCGUUCUGUGGGACAAGAAAAUUUAAAUAUAAAACAAGCAGAACAGAUACCAACAUGAAAUGCUCUGUAUUUGCCAUACGAGGAGAGAUUUGUGAUUGCAUCAGCCUGCAGAGAGAGUAGCUGGAAACUAUCCGAGCGUGAUGACUAAACAGAAACUGAUCUGUUGUUUGCUGGCUGGCACGAACAAGUAUUGCCAAAGCUAGGAAAUUCAGAAGGCAAAAACAAGUAGUAGUAACCCACUUCUAGGCAUGCAUUACAACAUGAUCAAAGAGCAACAUCUCCCAGAAAGAGAAGUAAACUAACGGAACAGUAGUUUUAGAGUGAGGGCAUUUCAUCUUAACUGUUCAGAAUGCAGUGCUAGGGAUGGGCC
rnacentral:lncRNA from 7 species